rnacentral:lncRNA from 1 species
CCAGGGACACAGCAGUGGCCCUCCGGGAUUGAGCACUGCUCAGCCUGUCCUCCACCACAGGCUGUUUGCCGGCAUGCCAUCGCCACCCUAAGUGGUGCCUCUGCACACCCACAGUGGAUCUGCAGUUGCGGUCAUCGGCAGUGGCUCCUUUUUGAUGCUCACCAGAAGACAGAAAAAAAAAAGAAGAAGAAGAAUCGGUCAAUUAAAUGCCAGCCCCUGGAUUGCAGUGGUUCAAUGAUAAGAAAAGCAGAUUGUAAAUUCACACGGCAUAAAGUUGGGGCGAGAAGUGUCCUCUGGAUUGGACAUUCCUCCUGCAAGCCGUGUGACGUCAGGAAGAAGUAGGCGUGAUCUUACUUCACAAACUUGAAAGAAACAUUCAGGAGAGUGGCCAGACUCUCUCAGACUCAAACUCCAGGCUGUGGUUGUGCAGAAACCAGGGUUCAGCAUCUCCUCCAACCAGGAGCCGCGCAGCCUUUGCCAGCGGUAGCCAAAGGUCUGUGAAUUAAACGCUCCCUCAGUCAGUCUUCACGUGGGUGAAUCAUCUGGAUCUACUUUUAUCUUGUCAUGCUGCAGCUCUGAUUCAGAAGUCCAGACCCGACCUCCUUGGCCAAUCUCCAGCCUUUAGACUCACCAGGCAGCCCUGAUGAGCUCCCCUCCUCACUCUGCGCCAGUCCUCAAAAUCAAGGGUUUUAGGGUUUUGAUGAGUUAACUGCUAAUUUCUUGGGACUGACAAUAUCAUCUUUGAACACUUGGGGGCAAUUUUCUCUUUAUUCCUAUUCUUUCAAGUUGUACCUUUUAAUUUCAUGCUAAUGAGUCCCGCUCCCUCCCUGGCUUGGGUUUAAACUGCAAUCCCUCCCAUAGCCACACUUGGCCAAGCUUACACUUUGGCCUCAGUAAUUGUUUUUUUUCUUUAAACCAAUCCUUCUACCUCCUUAGUGAUUAGCAUUGCAGUUUGGAGCCUUCCAAUUUGUCUACAUCUUCAGGGGCUCACGAGAAAUAACACACUUGAAACAAAAACAAGGCUUCCCUCUUCUUAAACAUCAUGAUUGUGUGCAUUACUGAAUACUAAUUUGUUUGCUGUUUUGUUUUUGGCUUUCCUGAUGUUUACCAUUUCCUGGAUACCUUUUUUACUUGUAUCCAUGAAUAACUGAAAAGUCUUUAUUCAUAUUGAAAUGCCUGGAGGAGGCAUGGAGGUGCAUGCCUGUGAUCUCAGCACUUGGGAGGCUGAGGCAGGAGGAUCACCAAGAGUUUGAGGCCAGCCUGUGCUACAUAGUGAGUUCAAGGCCAGCCUGAACUACAUAGCAAGACCCUAUCCUUUAAAAAAAACUGCCUUGAAGGAGCCUAGGUAAGAAACUGUCUCAAGACAGUCUGGUUGGAGGUGGGGGGACAAAUGCCUGCACUUUCUCCAGCCUGCCCAUACCUGCCUAGAGGGCUGUUUGUCUCUCCUCUGGGGCCUCCUGGACUCGGGGCAGAUGUGUAAGGUGCUGGACCACAUGAGCC